CAAAUAUUCAGUUUGAUAAAAUUAAGUAAAAAAAUAAAAUAAAGCUAUUUGAAAUAAAUUGGAAACUGUUCCAUAUAUGUUUUCCUAGCAUGUCAUAAUUAAUUGUCUCUGGAAAAUAUACUGUUAUAGUGACUCAAUUUUUUAUAAAAUAGAUAUGCAUGCAGAUCUUGGUUGUUGACGCCAUAUGUCAACCCAAGCCCAGGGGGUGAGGAGGCCUACAACAGAGCACACAUAAGGACAAGAAACACAGUCGAGAGAGCUUUCGGCUUACUUAAAUCAAGGUUUCGUUGCCUGCACAAAACAACUGGGUGUCUGCCAUUCCAACCAGCCAAGGCGAACAGAGUUGUGUAUGCUGCCUGCCAACUGCACAACUUCUGCAUAGAUUUAAGGGAGCCAGUCCCCCCAGAGCUAGAGGAGGAGGGAGCAGACGAGGGGCCCAGGUACCAGGGACCCCAGGCACAGGAUGGAUAUGCAGUCAGGCGGAAGCUAGUACAGGACAUAUUCACAUGAAGUGACGAUUACCUUCUGAGUUCGUGAGAGUGGGAUCACAUUGCUGAAACUCGGGUACUGCUGCUGAUGUUGUCGCUGAUGAUGUUGGAACUGAAUCCUGUGUGUCACUUUCCUCUGGAUAGUUUGCCAUGUCUGGUUGUGGCACUAUAAGGAUAUUUUAUGAAGUAUUUGAAUUAAAAACAUCUAAUAGUAGUGAGAACACAAGCUAUCCUUGUUGAGACAUAAUUUCUCUAUUUGGAGAAUUUCUCAGCACAGCUGAAAUGACAAAUAUCUUCUAUUCAUUAACGUACCUUUUAAUGAUAUGGUUUUGUUAGAUUAGCAAAAGGGACUCAUCGCUAUUUACAUGAUUUUGUACUGUACUGUACUGAACUGGUUCAUUUUACUGGAUUGCGAGUAUAUACUCACAUUCACAGGCUUCACUUUCCAGCCCUCCUUCUAUGCCCUGAACCUGACAUGCAGGAAUGAUGGAGAUGAUCUGAAAAUAUAAAAAAUUGAAAUGAUUGAGAUGUGCAUUUAAAUGACACAUUCUAAUAAAUACCUAUAGCUAUAGUUGUUUUGUAAUUCCAAUGAUUUCCCAUAUUUCUGAUUGACAGACAAUAUAUUCAGUAACAAAAUUAUAAAUAUUUCAUAUUGGAUUAAAAUUGAUAAGAACAAUUUAUCAUAGAUAAAAUAAAUUCAUAACAUUGCAACUACUCAUUACAGAAAAGAUUGCUAGUGAAUGAUAUUGAUUAAUGGUUAAUAUUCAUUUAUAGGAGUGUGAUAAAUACUGACCUUAUUUUCAAACUCAGUGAGAUCAAUAACAGUAUCAGGCAGACCACCCCCUGUCUUACUCUGCUCCUUUUUCUGGUGUGCUGCCUUCUUCCUGGUGAUACUCCUUUUAAGUAAAAAUACAGCAUUAGUUAUUUUUCAUUUUGAUUGUGUUGGAAUAUGUUUGUUCAAUUUUCCAAAUUUAGUCUCCGUUGUAGAAUUAAAUAAGUAUUGUUACAUUUGUUUUUCUCUAGGUGAUAUCAAUGUAUGUGAAUUCAUUACUGCUGAAUAAUUGUACAUUAAUUUAUGAUUAUUAUUGUCAAAAUGCCUUAAAUAUUGUAAUAAUAAUAACUUUCUUUCCUAUUCAUAUUUAUAUCAUCAAUAUUCUUAAAGAAUUGUUGUACAAAUCUGUGAUAUAUAUUUUUAUCCAACUUACAUCAUAUUUCCUACUAAUAAAUGUGGUGAAACUUAUUCACAGUAGUCUUGUUUUAUCUGUCAUAAAUAAAUAAAUUCCUUUUUUAAUUCAUCCUUUGUGAUUCACUACGAUAAAGAGAUCAAUUAUUUAUCCAUUAAGUACAUCUAGAUUGCUUGUGCAAUUUAUGAAUAGAUGAAAAAUAUUCACUACAUGAACUUAGAGCCAAUGCAAAAAGAUGCAGAGGUGGACAGUUUGUAAAUGUGUUCAUUCACUUUUUUUAUGAUUUGUGACUUUUCACUGAUGAAAACAUACAUGUUCAUACAAAUGUUAAA